rnacentral:rRNA from 1 species
CCUACGGGAGGCAGCAGUGGGGAAUAUUGCACAAUGGGGGAAACCCUGAUGCAGCAACGCCGCGUGAGUGAAGAAGUAUUUCGGUAUGUAAAGCUCUAUCAGCAGGGAAGAAAAUGACAGUACCUGACUAAGAAGCCCCGGCUAACUACGUGCCAGCAGCCGCGGUAAUACGUAGGGGGCAAGCGUUAUCCGGAUUUACUGGGUGUAAAGGGAGCGUAGACGGCUGCGCAAGUCAGAAGUGAAAGCCCGGGGCGCAACCGCGGGACUGCUUUUGAAACUGUGUAGCUAGAGUGCAGGAGAGGUAAGUGGAAUUCCUAGUGUAGCGGUGAAAUGCGUAGAUAUUAGGAGGAACACCAGUGGCGAAGGCGGCUUACUGGACUGUAACUGACGUUGAGGCUCGAAAGCGUGGGGAGCAAACAGGAUUAGAUACCCCAGUAGUC